GUCGUCAAGUGAUGAAGUUGGAAAUAAUCUUAGGACACCUUCCUACAUAGCUUUUUUAAAGCUAUGGAUGAGAAAAACAUUUCCUAUAUCUGAUGAUGAC
rnacentral:snoRNA from 1 species